rnacentral:rRNA from 1 species
AUUGAACGCUGGCGGCAGGCCUAACACAUGCAAGUCGAGCGAGCGGCGGACGUGUGAGAAAUGUAUGGGGAUCUCCCUGAUGGCGGGGGAUAACUACUGGAAACGGUAGCUAAUACCGCAUACCUUCCGCUGAACCCAUAUUGCAUUAGCUUGUAGGUAGGGUAACGGCUUACAUAGGCGACGAUCCCUAGCGGGUCUGAGAGGGUGAUGAGCCACACUGGGACUGAGACACGGCCCAGACUCCUACGGGAGGCAGCAGUGGGGAAUAUUGCACAAUGGGCGCAAGCCGGAUGCAGCCAUGCCGCGUGUGUGAAGAAGGCCUUCGGGUUGUAAAGCACUUUCAGUCGGGAGGCGUUACCGACAGAAGAAGCACCGGCUAACUCCGUGCCAGCAGCCGCGGUAAUAC